GUCUAAGUAUAAGCAAUUAUACCGUGAAACUGCGAAUGGCUCAUUAAAUCAGUUAUCGUUUAUUUGAUAGUACCUUACUACUUGGAUAACCGUGGUAAUUCUAGAGCUAAUACAUGCUUAAAACCCCAACUUCGGGAGGGGUGUAUUUAUUAGAUAAAAAACCAACGCCCUUCGGGGCUUCUUGGUGAUUCAUGAUAACUUUACGGAUCGCAUGGCCUUGCGCCGGCGACGGUUCAUUCAAAUUUCUGCCCUAUCAACUUUCGAUGGUAGAGUAGUGGUCUACCAUGGUUUCAACGGGUAACGGGGAAUUAGGGUUCGAUUCCGGAGAGGGAGCCUGAGAAACGGCUACCACAUCCAAGGAAGGCAGCAGGCGCGCAAAUUACCCAAUCCCGACACGGGGAGGUAGUGACAAUAAAUACUGAUACAGGGCUCUUUUGGGUCUUGUAAUUGGAAUGAGUACAAUUUAAACCUCUUAACGAGGAACAAUUGGAGGGCAGU
rnacentral:rRNA from 1 species